UACGGGGGGGGCAAGCGUUGUUCGGAAUUACUGGGCGUAAAGGGCCCGUAGGCGGCCAACUAAGUCGGAUGUGAAAUCCCCAGGCUCAACUUGGGAACUGCAUCCGAUACUGGAUGGCUUGAAUUCGGGAGAGGGAUGCAGAAUUCCAGGUGUAGCGGUGAAAUGCGUAGAUAUCUGGAGGAAUACCGGUGGCGAAGGCGGCAUCCUGGACCGACAUUGACGCUGAGGAGCGAAAGCUAGGGGAGCAAACGGG
rnacentral:rRNA from 1 species